ACAUCUCCUACAGCCGCUUAAAAAACAUGCAAAAAGCAACAACAAAACUUACCGCAGAUAGGUGUAGAACUUUCGUCGUCUUUUUCGAUGAUGUUGUCCUCGAGCAAGUCUUCGGUGUGGAGAGUAUUUUGUGGGAAAAACCCCUCUUCUUUCACCGCGAGCAAGCCUUCAGCCUCCGCUGGAACGUCAUUGUUCUUCAAUGUCAACCUCCUCGACACUUUUUGGCGGGAGACCCGUUAAAGGCGUCCAACGCGCCAGAGGCGUAAAAGAAACAUCUGAACCACCACCACCGGAGUAAACACCCCGCAUUCAGAGUUAAAAGACUCCAAAGAAAAGACGUCUGGUUCGGUCGACUGAGGCUGAUAGGAUCCGUUGAUUUUAGGAGCACGGAGACUGGCACGAAAAAACCAACGACCUGAGGCAGAAGAUUUCGUCUCCCAAGUAGCGCUAAACAAAAUUCUUCUCUCACGCAACUCAUCCAGCGUCGGCUGAAACAAACAGAUAUCUCCCAUCUGGUAUCGGAAAACGUAUCCAAAAGAUCCAAUCAUUCCAUAACCCUCCAAGCACCACUUCUCACGCAAAGACUCGGUUGGAGGAAUUUGAGUACGAUUCAAAAAAAUCCUACUUUUCCGAGGAGCGUCGUAGUAAGUUUUAUCAUUUUUAUAAAUUGAAACUGGCGUUUCGCUAAUCAUGCCUACUGAAACAACAGCUUUCUCCAUCUUUUCCAUUUUCUCUUAAUGCUCGUACUAACAAAGACU